ACGGAGGGUGCAAGCGUUACUCGGAAUCACUGGGCGUAAAGAGCGUGUAGGCGGGUUGUUAAGUCAGAAGUGAAAUCCAAGGGCUUAACCUUUGAACUGCAUUUGAAACUGGGUAGCUUGAGUGUGGGAGAGGUAGAUGGAAUUUCUGGUGUAGGGGUAAAAUCCGUAGAGAUCAGAAGGAAUACCGAUGGCGAAGGCGAUCUACUGGAACAUGACUGACGCUGAGACGCGAAAGCGUGGGGAGCAAACAG
rnacentral:rRNA from 1 species